rnacentral:rRNA from 1 species
AUUGAACGCUGGCGGCAUGCUUUACACAUGCAAGUCGAACGGUAACAGGCCUUCGGGUGCUGACGAGUGGCGAACGGGUGAGUAAUGCAUCGGAACGUGCCCAAUCGUGGGGGAUAACGUAGCGAAAGUUACGCUAAUACCGCAUAAGCCCUGAGGGGGAAAGCAGGGGAUCGCAAGACCUUGCGCGAAUGGAGCGGCCGAUGUCAGAUUAGCUAGUUGGUGGGGUAAAGGCCUACCAAGGCGACGAUCUGUAGCGGGUCUGAGAGGAUGAUCCGCCACGCUGGGACUGAGACACGGCCCAGACUCCUACGGGAGGCAGCAGUGGGGAAUUUUGGACAAUGGGCGCAAGCCUGAUCCAGCCAUGCCGCGUGCGGGACGAAGGCCUCGG